GCCGCGCCCGCCCUCACCAACAUGGCGACGCGAGAGAGACGGGGGCCCGUCAGGGCGGACCGACGGCAGCAACCGCUGUAGGAGCCGCAGCCGCCAUCUUGCGCGUGUCAGGUUGGGAGCGAGGCGGAGCGUGGGUGGAUCUCAGCCAGUUCUGAGGCCAGAGAGAAUCAUACUUUGCUAGGGAGCUGUGCUGCUGAACACUGAUGUUUCUUGGGCCAGAUACUGCCACCCUUACUCUUGCUAAGUAAUACCUGACUCUGCAUCACAAGCAAGUCCUCAAUCACAGCUCUCAAGUCAUCUGCUUUUCACCACAGCAAGUGAAGCCAGGAAACGAAACCAAACCAACCCCCCCGCCGGACACAAUCAUUUUGUAACUGAAAAUGUUUCUACACUGAAAACGUGUAUACCACAUAUUGGCUGCCUAAAGCAGGUGAACUGGAGCCAAUAGGUUGAACAUGGGGCUGGACACUUGGAAUCGCUGCAGUCUAAUCCUGUCUCUGACACUGACCCGCUGGAUGCCUUGGACAAACGUCCCGACGUCUCCCCAAACCCAUACCCUGCCAGCUGGGAAGGAGACUUUAUGGCUCCAUGGAACCUUUUGUGACAGAUCUGACGUGCUUGGAUAGAAGCUCAGCUGAAAGAACACGAACAACACGACAAACCCACUUUGCAACAUGCCUAUGGCCAAAUUCUGCCCUUGAGUGCACAUGCCUGGUUCCCAAUGAAGACAACAUGGGCAACAACAGAGUGAACUCCCCUCUGCCCUGGGAUGACUCGUGUGUGUGUGUGUUUGGCCUGUUAUUAUGUUUGCUCAGACUGUUGCUGACUUAGUCGUUUCAUGGUUAUUACAUGUUUUGA